CCUACGGGCGACAGCAGUGGGGGAUAUUGCACAAUGGGGGAAACCCUGAUGCAGCGACGCCGCGUGGGUGAAGAAGCGCCUCGGCGCGUAAAGCCCUGUCAGCAGGGAAGAAAAUUACGGUACCUGAAGAAGACGCCCCGGCUAACUACGUGCCAGCAGCCGCGGUAAUACGUAGGGGGCAAGCGUUAUCCGGAUUUACUGGGUGUAAAGGGGGCGCAGACGGCGAUGCAAGCCAGGAGUGAAAGCCCGGGGCCCAACCCCGGGACUGCUCUUGGAACUGCGGGGCUAGAGUGCAGGAGGGGCAGGCGGAAUUCCUGGUGUAGCGGUGAAAUGCGUAGAUAUCAGGAGGAACACCGGUGGCGAAGGCGGCCUGCUGGACUGCAACUGACGUUGAGGCCCGAAAGCGUGGGGAGCAAACAGGAUUAGAUACCCCUGUAGUC
rnacentral:rRNA from 1 species